AAUGGGUUGUUCUGCAGAGCGCUUGUCAAUACAGACGGACUGAAGCGAAGAUCAGCAACACAGACUUGACUUUGCCGCUGGAAGACAACCUCAGGCGCAAACAUGAUGUGUGACGUCGAGUUCGACUUAUCCUUGGCUUUAGAAAGUGAUCCCGACAUGACGGAAGUAGACUGCCCUCUACCGGCCAAGGUGAGGCGCUGCAUGUU